rnacentral:rRNA from 1 species
AGUCGACCCCUAAGGCGAGGCUGAAAAGCGUAGUCGAUGGGAAACAGGUUAAUAUUCCUGUACUGGGUGUGACUGCGAAGGGGGGACGGAGAAGGCUAGGCUAGCCGGGCGACGGUUGUCCCGGUUUAAGCAUGUAGGCGGAGCGACUUGGUAAAUCCGGUUGCUUAUCAACGCUGAGGUGUGAUGACGAGCCACUACGGUGGUGAAGUAGUUGAUGCCAAGCUUCCAGGAAAAGCCUCUAAGCAUCAGGUGACAUUCAAUCGUACCCCAAACCGACACAGGUGGUCAGGUAGAGAAUACUCAGGCGCUUGAGAGAACUCGGGUGAAGGAACUAGGCAAAAUGGUGCCGUAACUUCGGGAGAAGGCACGCUGGCAUUAGGUAAAGAGACUUGCUCUCGGCGCCGAAGCCAGUCGCAGAUACCAGCUGGCUGCAACUGUUUAAUAAAAACACAGCACUGUGCAAACACGAAAGUGGACGUAUACGGUGUGACGCCUGCCCGGUGCUGGAAGGUUAAUUGAUGGGGUCAGCCGCAAGGCGAAGCUCUUGAUCGAAGCCCCAGUAAACGGCGGCCGUAACUAUAACGGUCCUAAGGUAGCGAAAUUCCUUGUCGGGUAAGUUCCGACCUGCACGAAUGGCGUAAUGAUGGCCAGGCUGUCUCCACCCGAGACUCAGUGAAAUUGAACUCGCUGUGAAGAUGCAGUGUACCCGCGGCAAGACGGAAAGACCCCGUGAACCUUUACUAUAGCUUGACACUGAAUAUUGAGCCUUGAUGUGUAGGAUAGGUGGGAGGCAUCGAAGCGUGGACGCCAGUCUGCGUGGAGCCAACCUUGAAAUACCACCCUUUAAUGUUUGAUGUUCUAACUCGGCCCCAUAAUCUGGGGUGAGGACAGUGUCUGGUGGGUAGUUUGACUGGGGCGGUCUCCUCCCAAAGAGUAACGGAGGAGCACGAAGGUUAGCUAAUCACGGUCGGACAUCGUGAGGUUAGUGCAAAGGCAUAAGCUAGCUUGACUGCGAGAGUGACGGCUCGAGCAGGUACGAAAGUAGGUCUUAGUGAUCCGGUGGUUCUGAAUGGAAGGGCCAUCGCUCAACGGAUAAAAGGUACUCCGGGGAUAACAGGCUGAUACCGCCCAAGAGUUCAUAUCGACGGCGGUGUUUGGCACCUCGAUGUCGGCUCAUCACAUCCUGGGGCUGAAGUAGGUCCCAAGGGUAUGGCUGUUCGCCAUUUAAAGUGGUACGCGAGCUGGGUUUAGAACGUCGUGAGACAGUUCGGUCCCUAUCUGCCGUGGGCGUUGGAAGAUUGAGAGGGGCUGCUCCUAGUACGAGAGGACCGGAGUGGACGCAUCACUGGUGUUCGGGUUGUCAUGCCAAUGGCAUUGCCCGGUAGCUAAAUGCGGAAAAGAUAAGCGCUGAAAGCAUCUAAGCGCGAAACUUGCCUCGAGAUGAGUCUUCCCUGGGGCUUUAAGCCCCCUGAAGGAACGUUAAAGACUAUGACGUUGAUAGGCUGGGUGUGUAAGUGCAGCGAUGCAUUGAGCUAACCAGUACUAAUGAUCCGUGAGGCUUAACCUUACAACACCGAAGGUGUUU